UACGUAGGGAGCAAGCGUUAUCCGGAUUUAUUGGGUGUAAAGGGUGCGUAGACGGGAUUACAAGUUGGUUGUGAAACCCCUCAGCUCAACUGAGGAACUGCAACCAAAACUAUAAUUCUUGAGUGCAGGAGAGGAAAGUGGAAUUCCCAGUGUAGCGGUGAAAUGCGUAGAUAUUAGGAAGAACACCGGUGGCGAAGGCGACUUUCUGGACUGUAACUGACGUUGAGGCACGAAAGUGUGGGGAGCAAACAGG
rnacentral:rRNA from 1 species